rnacentral:rRNA from 1 species
UACGUAGGGAGCGAGCGUUGUCCGGAUUUACUGGGUGUAAAGGGUGCGUAGGCGGGUUUGCAAGUCAGGCGUGAAAUACCGAGGCUUAACUUCGGAGCUGCGCUUGAAACUGUAGAUCUUGAGUGAAGUAGAGGCAAGCGGAAUUCCUAGUGUAGCGGUGAAAUGCGUAGAUAUUAGGAGGAACACCAGUGGCGAAGGCGGCUUGCUGGGCUUUAACUGACGCUGAGGCACGAAAGCAUGGGGAGCAAACAGGAUUAGAUACCCUGGUAGUCCAUGCCGUAAACGAUGAUUGCUAGGUGUGGGGGGACUGACCCCUUCCGUGCCGGAGUAAACACAAUAAGCAAUCCACCUGGGGAGUACGACCGCAAGGUUGAA